ACGGACGAUGGCGAUUACAACAUCAAGGUCCGUAACCUGAUCAAGUUCCUCGAUGAAGGCGACAAGACCAAGAUCACGCUGCGUUUCCGCGGUCGCGAAAUGGCGCACCAGGAUAUCGGCAUGCGCAUGCUCGAACGUCUGAAGGUGGAUCUGGAGCAGUACGGCCAGGUCGAGCAGUGGCCGAAGAUGGAAGGACGCCAGAUGAUCAUGGUGAUGGCGCCCAAGAAGAAGAAGUAGCUGUUGGCGUAACGCAGAAUUCGCACGGCUGAUUUAGUACAGUCAGCCGGCGCAAUAACGUCAGCCGUCAGGUUGGCGUA
rnacentral:misc_RNA from 1 species